UACGAAGGGGGCUAGCGUUGCUCGGAAUUACUGGGCGUAAAGGGCGCGUAGGCGGAUAUUUAAGUUGGGGGUGAAAUCCCGGGGCUCAACCUCGGAAUUGCCUUCAAAACUGGAUAUCUUGAGUUCGGGAGAGGUGAGUGGAACUCCGAGUGUAGAGGUGGAAUUCGUAGAUAUUAGGAAGAACACCAGUGGCGAAGGCGGCUCACUGGUCCGGUACUGACGCUGAGGUGCGAAAGCGUGGGGAGCAAACAGG
rnacentral:rRNA from 1 species